rnacentral:lncRNA from 1 species
AACACACACAUCACACACCACAGAUACCACACAACUCCUACCACACGCCACACAUCACACACCACAUACACAAUACACCGCAGAUACCACACAACUCAUACCACACGCCACACAUCACACACCACAUACACAAUACACCACACACACAUCACACACUACAGACACCACACAACUCAUACCACACGCCACACAUCACACACCACCUGCAUCACACACCACACACACAACACACACAUCACACACCACAGAUACCACACAACUCAUACCACACGCCACACAUCACACACCACCUGCAUCACACACCACGCACACAACACACAUCACACACCACAGAUACCACACAACUCA